AACAAACAGACGCCAUAUUGGUUGUGUACCCCUUGAUCCUAGAGAGACCAAGGGAGAGAGACGAGUUAAAGGAAGAUCUCAAUUUACUACUGAACUACAAAGAGAGCGAGGAAUGUGACAAAAAGGGAGCAGCUCUGUUGAAGAACCAGGACAGGGCAGGGAAGGUGAAUGGCCCAUCUAUAUUCCCUGACCUCUGCACUUCACGCCGCAAGAAUUUGAUGCACAUGUUGAAAAACCAUCAAAAGCUGCAAGACAUCAAAAGGAGAUGCAUCAAGGCAAAGGAAGAGCUGUCGGAGAAUUUGCACGUUAGAUUGAAGUGGAUAAUGUAUAUAGAGAGGCGUCUGUACGAGGCUGACACGCGCGUCUCCAUGCAUCGAGAGAGUGUGCGGCGCCUGGCUGGACUCCUGCAGGUGGUGGAGCAGAUUCACCGCGCCCCGAGGGUCUAUGCCGCAGCCGUCACGGAGGUGGCUCGGCGGCACGCCUUCUCCAGGGCCUUCCUGCAGGUUACACAAAGAAAACAUAGAUGAACUGAGAAGACUGCUGCCGGAACUUUCUCACUGUCUAGCCAUUGGUGAGGUUCUGGCGGUUCCUCCUCUGCUUCGCCAUUUCACAGCCGCCCUCAAUACACAGGAGGAGAGGAGGAGGAGGAGGAGGAGGAGGAGGAGGAGGAGGAGGAGG